GCCUAUGCAGUGGUGCAGGAGCACCUCCUCAGAGCGCGGGCUGGGGGAGCUGUUGUGUUCACCUGCCCGGCGCUGGGCCUGGGGGACCAUGGGCUCCCGGCCUCCCAGGUGGCUGGCCGGCCACUCAUAGGGCUCGGGCUUGCUGAGCGAGCUGGCCGAGAAGCUCAUGGAGUAGCAAGGUGGGGUCUCAUCGGAGAUCACCUGGGGCUGGGCCCAGGGGUGCAGCUUGACCUGAGCGGCUGCCUUGGCUGGGGCCCGGGCCUCCUUCCCAGCCCACUUCAGAACCUGCGGGAUGGCAGAUGGUCGCCGCGGGGGCAGCCCGGCCGAGGAGGACGCCUCAUCAGAGUCCUAAAAGCAGUACCCGGCCUCCUCGGUGGGCGUCCUGAGGCACAGGGACUUCACCCCAAGCCCAGUCCAAAUGGGCACUUGGGAGCCAGACCAGGGGCAGCUCCAGCCCGCCCCGGCUCCUGCCUGUGCUCUGGGCCUGCUCUGGGCUCCAGCUGGUGCCCCCCGGCCUUGAGCCGGUGCCCUGAAACCUGGCUGGAGGGGGCCGCGAGGCUGGGGGGCUCCUGCCUGUCCAGGCGGCCUCGGGGUUGCUCCCUGGGUGGCCCUUGCAGGGUCUUGUCGCUGAGGGACACGGCGCUGGAGAAGCUGACCAGUGUGCCCUCAACCAGGUCGGUGCACAAGUCGUCCUCCCGGGCACCAGCUUGUAGACAGGGACGGGCAGUGCCCGGCGGCCGGGCACCAGCGCCAAGGCCACUUUGCGGAGUCACGCGGGCACUGCGGCCCCUAGGCACUCGCGCAGCAGCUCCAGCUCCUGGUCCGCGGCCACGUGGUUGCAGGAGUCCGCGGGCGCCGGCCCCUCCUGGCAUCCUGCGACUUCUCCCCAGCGGCGCCCGCCGCCACCUCCACCCCUGCCAGUGCCGGCCGCAGCAGCCGCAGCUCCAUGUCCUGCUGCACGGAGUGCUCCUGCAGGGGGAGCGCACUGAGGCUGGAGGCGCAGAAUUUCUCGUCCAGCUUCUCCACGGUGAAGCCGUCUGGGCGGCAUGGUCUGCCCGGGUCUGUGGGGCAGCUCACUGGGGCUCAUCAUGCUGCUGCCCAGCCCAUUGCAGGGGUCACUGGGGAUGGAGCUGGCGAUGGACAGGCUCUGGAAGCUGCCCAGGGAGCUCACCGAGCUGCAGCGGCUCAGGAGCAGUGGUAUCUACCGCACACAAUUCUCAGAAGAGCUGGAUGGCAUGGCAUCCUCCAUGCCCAGGCCCCGGCCGCGGCCCCGCUGUGGAGCCAGGAUGGCCGUGGGCCGGGAGGAGGGCCUGCGCCAUGCCCCGGCCAGCUCCGCCUCUUCGGGGCCGGCCUCUUCCAGGCCCUGGAGAAAGGAGUCGCUGUCCAGGUCUCCGGCCUAGCAGGGGCCCGGGCAUCUGGUGGAGGACAGCUAGGACAGCAAGCUGCAGCGGGACAGUGAGAGGGGCCCCUCCUGUGCUACCAGCCUCUGGGGGCAGCCGGCCAGCCCCCAGCUUCUCGGGCACCUGGCUCAGGCCCUCCGCUGGCAGCCAGGCCUGCUUUCAGGCCGCGGGGGGUGUGCCUUGGGGCCACCUGGGGCCCCCACGCCUGCCCUACCCUUGA
ensembl:lncRNA